rnacentral:rRNA from 1 species
CAGUCGCCGCGGUAAUACGAAGGGGGCUAGCGUUGCUCGGAAUUACUGGGCGUAAAGGGAGCGUAGGCGGAUGUCUAAGUCAGAGGUGAAAGCCCAGGGCUCAACCUUGGAACUGCCUUUGAUACUGGACAUCUUGAGUGUGGGAGAGGUAAGCGGAACUCCGAGUGUAGAGGUGAAAUUCGUAGAUAUUCGGAAGAACACCAGUGGCGAAGGCGGCUUACUGGCCCAUUACUGACGCUGAGGCUCGAAAGCGCGGGGAGCAAACAGGAUUAGAUACCCGCGUAGUCCCUGUCUCUUAUAC